rnacentral:rRNA from 1 species
GAAACCGGAGCUAAUACCGGAUAAUAUAUUGAACCGCAUGGUUCGAUAGUGAAAGACGGUUUUGCUGUCACUUAUAGAUGGAUCCGCGCCGCAUUAGCUAGUUGGUAAGGUAACGGCUUACCAAGGCAACGAUGCGUAGCCGACCUGAGAGGGUGAUCGGCCACACUGGAACUGAGACACGGUCCAG